CAGUAGCCACGGUAAUACGAGGGGGGCAAGCGUUGUUCGGAAUUAUUGGGCGUAAAGGGAGCGUAGGCGGACAUUUAAGUCAGGGGUGAAAUCCCAGAGCUCAACUCUGGAACUGCCUUUGAUACUGGGUGUCUUGAGUGUGAUAGAGGUAUGUGGAACUCCGAGUGUAGAGGUGAAAUUCGUAGAUAUUCGGAAGAACACCAGUGGCGAAGGCGACAUACUGGAUCAUUACUGACGCUGAGGCUCGAAAGCGUGGGGAGCAAACAGGAUUAGAUACCCCGGUAGUCCCUGUCUCUUAUAC
rnacentral:rRNA from 1 species